UGGACGCAUUUGACAAGGUCCUACCUUCUACUGUAUGAGGUUGGAAAAAACAAAUAGAGCUUUCCUUCUCUGUAUACACUUUCUAGAAGUGUAUACACUUCUGCCCACAGUGGAUAGUCAUGCUGAUGAAAAGAGGGUCCAACUUCUACUAUUUUAACAUACUCAGGGAGUCCAGAUGACUGGGAUGUUUCCUAAAAUGGAAAAUACAAGACAAGAAAAACAGGCAUGGAAAAAUAUUCGCUCUACCAGUGUAUCUGAGAAGUCUGAAGAAAGUUAAAAUGUGUUCUCCUUGUUAACAGCAACAUACAUACAUAAAUAAAUAA